rnacentral:rRNA from 1 species
ACGGGGCGCAGCAGGCGCGAAACCUUUACACUGCACGSCAGUGCGAUAAGGGGAUCCCGAGUGCACAGGCAUAGAGCCUGUGCUUUUCUGAACCGUAGGGAGGUUCAGGAACAAGAGCUGGGCAAGACCGGUGCCAGCCGCCGCGGUAAUACCGGCAGCUCGAGUGAUGGCCGAUCUUAUUGGGCCUAAAGCGUCCGUAGCUGGCCUUGCAAGUCCGUCGGGAAAUCCACCCGCUCAACGGGUGGGCGUCCGGCGGAAACUGUGAGGCUUGGGACCGGGAGGCUUGAAGGGUACGUCCGGGGUAGGAGUGAAAUCCCGUAAUCCUGGACGGACCGCCGAUGGGGAAACCACUUCAAGAGAACGGAUCCGACAGUGAGGGACGAAAGCUAGGGUCUCGAACCGGAUUAGAUACCCCCGUAGUCC